AGUGGUGUUGAGGAUUGAACCCAGGACCUUAAGAAUGCUAGCCACUGAACAUGGUCCUACCCAUUAUGUUCCUGAAUCUCUUCUGUGAUACUUCCACCUCUUCCAUGCAUCCUUACUGGAAAAGGAGUUUCAUGCCAAGCUGGAUAAAAUCACCAUUAAGUAUUAAGCAGACAGUGGAAUCCCAGCUCUAUUACUUACUGGGAGCUCUCAGGCAAGUUACUUACACUCUGUUUCUUCCACUAUAAAAAUAGGUUGUAGACUUA